rnacentral:rRNA from 1 species
GACGAACGCUGGCGGCGUGCUUAACACAUGCAAGUCGAACGCUGAGGCUCAGCUUUUGUUGGGUGGAUGAGUGGCGAACGGGUGAGUAACACGUGAGUAACCUGCCCCCUUCUUUGGGAUAACGCCCGGAAACGGGUGCUAAUACUGGAUAUUCACUGGUCUUCGCAUGGGGGUUGGUGGAAAGGGUUUUUCUGGUGGGGGAUGGGCUCGCGGCCUAUCAGCUUGUUGGUGGGGUGAUGGCCUACCAAGGCUUUGACGGGUAGCCGGCCUGAGAGGGUGACCGGUCACAUUGGGACUGAGAUACGGCCCAGACUCCUACGGGAGGCAGCAGUGGGGAAUAUUGCACAAUGGGCGCAAGCCUGAUGCAGCGACGCCGCGUGAGGGAUGGAGGCCUUCGGGUUGUGAACCUCUUUCGCUCAUGGUCAAGCCGCAACAAUGGUUGUGGUGAGGGUAGUGGGUAAAGAAGCGCCGGCUAACUACGUG